rnacentral:misc_RNA from 1 species
GAUGAAGAACGUAGCGAAAUGCGAUAAGUAAUGUGAAUUGCAGAAUUCAGUGAAUCAUCGAAUCUUUGAACGCACAUUGCGCCCGCCAGUAUUCUGGCGGGCAUGCCUGUUCGAGCGUCAUUUCAACCAUCAAGCCCCAGGCUUGUGUUGGGGACCUGCGGCUGCCGCAGGCCCUGAAAACCAGUGGCGGGCUCGCUAGUCACUCCGAGCGUAGUAGUUACAUCUCGCUCAGGGCGUGCUGCGGGUUCCGGCCGUUAAAAAGCCUUAUUUUACCCAAGGUUGACCUCGGAUCAGGUAGGAAGACCCGCUGAACUUAAGCAUAUCAAUAAGCGGAGGA